rnacentral:rRNA from 1 species
UUGACAUCCAGAGAACUUGGCAGAGAUGCCUUGGUGCCCUUCGGGACCUCUGAGACAGGUGCUGCAUGGCUGUCGUCAGCUCGUGUUGUGAAAUGUUGGGUUAAGUCCGCAACGAGCGCAACCCCUAUCCUUUGUGCCAGCGAGUUCGGUCGGGAACUCAAAGGAGACUGCCGGUGAUAAACCGGAGGAAGGUGGGGAUGACGUCAAGUCAUCAUGGCCCUUACGAGUAGGGCUACACACGUGCUACAAUGGCGCAUACAAAGAGAAGCGACCUCGCGAGAGCAAGCGGACCUCAUAAAGUGCGUCGUAGUCCGGAUCGGAGUCUACAACUCGACUCCGUGAAGUCGGAAUCGCUAGUAAUCGUAGAUCAGAAUGCUACGGUGAAUACGUUCCCGGGCCUUGUACACACCGCCCGUCACACCAUGGGAGUGGGUUGCAAAAGAAGUAGAUAGCUUAACCUUCGGGAGGGCGUUUACCACUUUGUGAUCCAUGACUGGGGUGAAGUCGUAACAAGGUAGGCGUAGCGAG